rnacentral:rRNA from 1 species
AUUGAACGCUGGCGGCAGGCUUAACACAUGCAAGUCGAGCGGGGAAGGUUGCUUCGGUAACUGACCUAGCGGCGGACGGGUGAGUAAUGCUUAGGAAUCUGCCUAUUAGUGGGGGACAACAUUCCGAAAGGGAUGCUAAUACCGCAUACGUCCUACGGGAGAAAGCAGGGGGUCAUUUGACCUUGCGCUAAUAGAUGAGCCUAAGUCGGAUUAGCUAGUUGGUGGGGUAAAGGCCUACCAAGGCGACGAUCUGUAGCGGGUCUGAGAGGAUGAUCCGCCACACUGGGACUGAGACACGGCCCAGACUCCUACGGGAGGCAGCAGUGGGGAAUAUUGGACAAUGGGGGGAACCCUGAUCCAGCCAUGCCGCGUGUGUGAAGAAGGCCUUUUGGUUGUAAAGCACUUUAAGCGAGGAGGAGGCUCUCUUGGUUAAUACCUGAGAAGAGUGGACGUUACUCGCAGAAUAAGCACCGGCUAACUCUGUGCCAGCCGCCGCAGUAAUAC